rnacentral:lncRNA from 1 species
CUGGACCCGCCUGGACUCCAGGGUCAGCCUUGCCACCCACUAGCUGCAUGCUCUGCAUCAGGGACCUGAAUAAUGCUGACAGCACAAAGUGCCCGGCCCUGCUGCAAAGUUCUCUGCAAGUUCCUACCUCCCAAUACCCCUUUGAAGUAGGUGCUGCUAACGUAAUAAGACGAUCCUAGGUUGUGUCAAGUCAGCAAUUAAAACCAUCACACUCCUACCAGGCCUGGCGGUGCAUUCAUUUCAUCCCAGCACUCAGGAGGCAGAGACCAAGUUUCUUCAGCAGAAAAUGGAGGCUUGUAACAGAUGCACUGUGAGGCUGAGGCUGCACAGAAAACAGCUGAAGCACAGCCCUUCGAGAGUCCCGUGGAGAACUCGAGGAACAGGGGUGUCAAACCAAACACCAGAAGAAAAACUCUGUGAGACAUUCUGUGCCCAGUCUCCCUGAAUUCUGCAAACCCACUUUCUCCGCUAGAGUGAAGGUAACCGAGUCCUGGCCGUGAAAGCUGACUGGUAAUGCCUAGAGUUCGUCGCAAGGUGGCAACAUUGUGGCGAGAAAUAGAUAUUAAAAAUCCUGG